rnacentral:rRNA from 1 species
UACGAAGGGGGCUAGCGUUGUUCGGAAUUACUGGGCGUAAAGGGCGCGUAGGCGGUCACGCAGGUCAUCUGUGAAAGCACUCGGCUCAACCGGGAUGUUGCGGGUGAAACCGCGUGACUUGAGGGUGGGAGAGGUCGGUGGAAUUCCCGGUGUAGUGGUGAAAUGCGUAGAGAUCGGGAGGAACACCCGUAGCGAAGGCGGCCGACUGGACCACACCUGACGCUGAGGCGCGAAGGCCAGGGGAGCGAACGGG